GUCACGGGGCGCGCGCUGAUGCGAACGGGGUGACAGAUGGGAACGCCUCCGAGACCGCCAGCGACGACCCCGCUCGGGCAGCCCCGGAUUUCCUCGGCUGCACCGGCGCCGGCAGCGGGGACCGAGGCCCGCGUCCGUUCGGGUCGGGCCGGGGCUUAGCCCCGCGCCCCACGGGCGGCCGGGACCCCACCCGGACCCCGCCGCGGUUCUGGGCCGCCGGAGCCUCGCGCCGCCUCUCGGGGACCUUGUCCCCUGGCCUCCGGCCUCUCGGGCCCCUCGCCUGCCGUCUAGGAGGGAAGGGGCCUUGGAUCUGUGCCCCGCCCAUGGAACAGCGCCCGGGCUCGGAGAGGCCCCGCGAGGCCGCAGGCGCAGACCCUCCCGGAGGGCUGGGCGGGCACCGGGGUCUUCGGCUGGCUUGAGGGACCCGACCCCUGGGGGAGGAAUUUGGGGUCUGUGUGUCCGAAUGAACGCGGGGGUUCAGAUGAGUCUGUGGUGCCCCCGCUUUCCAUCUCCUCCGGCCCCGGCCCCAGAGGACUGUCUGAGAGGCCGGUGGCCGCGGAUCCUGGACGCGCCUCCCUCCUGCCUGUGGUUUCCCUUUAUUCCGGCAGCGGCGCGAGCCCACCCUUCACAUACAGGAGCUACAUCCAGAAGCUUCUCCUGGGGCCACAGCGUGGGCUUCCGAGACUCUGCGUGACCCCAGCUCUGCCCCUUUGGGGCUGCGGGUGAAGCCCUCAGGACCCUCCGCGUGCGUUGGGCAGGUAACUGGAUGAGGGAUAAUGUGGUGAGGUCCCCGUGCCCAACCCUCCUCUGCAGCCCACAGCAACCGUUCCCUCUUCAGCAGCCCCCUCCCCCCGGCCGCUCUGGGCGCCCGUUCCCAGCAUCCUCCUUGGCAGGUGUUACCCCUCCCCAUUCCCCAGGCCCUGGGCCCUCCUGAUCUGUCUCCUCGACCCCCUGGGGCCCCAGUCUGGCUCAGUCUGGUCCACACUCUGGAAUCUGGUGGGACUGGGUAUGGAGGGUCUUGAGUGUCAGCAGGCCACCUGCGUCCCACCUGGUGGGUGAGAAGGGUCCCACAGGUCAGCAUGGAGGGACCCGACUCUGUCUCUUCUGCUGGAAACCAGGCAGGUUCCUUCCCCCAGGGCCCCGGCAGGGCCACGAGUACCCGCUGCACUGGAGCACGGGGGAAGAGGCAGGGAUCCUUCAUUACCUGAACCCCAUGUUCACACGUCACAAAACAGGAGUUUCCAAAAUUAGAAUUUAUUUCAGUUUCUAAGGAAUGAAUCCCCGAGUGUGGCAGGAAGGACACAGCCGGCUCCUGACGCACACCUGAUUUGAUUCAACACCGAGUCGGCACAGACACAACCAGAGAUGGCCUGGGUCCAGGCUGGGGCUGCACGGGCUGUGUCCUGGACAGCCAGGAGGGAGGCCCCGCACACAGACGGCCGCCGGGCAGGGGGCCUGAGCGGGACAGGCCUGGCCACAGCCCAUGUCCUUGGCCUUCCACAUAGGUGCACACAUUGUCUGCCCAGAGAGGGCCAAGAUGCCCCAGGCACCCCUUCGCUCCGGGGGCUCAGGACACAGGCUCCCAGCUGAGGCCACGCCUGGACCCAGAGCUGAUGUUUGGCUGCACGCGAGCCCACUCGGGACAGACCCAAGAACACGAAUUCUCUCCCUUUGGAUUUAAGGCUGGUGUUUUUUGACAUUUACUUCAGUUUUUCUCUCUGAAAUUAAAAUUACCUGAGUAAAAGAUUUUAAGACAUUAAAAAAGCCAAAAACACAGAAUCCCUGCAGGCAGACGGUGCCAGGGAGGUGGCGGCCAGGGCCAGGAUGCCAGGGGCACGGUGGGGUCGGCUGGAGCUCCAGGGC
rnacentral:lncRNA from 1 species